UACGUAGGGCGCAAGCGUUAUCCGGAAUUAUUGGGCGUAAAGAGCUCGUAGGCGGUUUGUCGCGUCUGCCGUGAAAGUCCGGGGCUCAACUCCGGAUCUGCGGUGGGUACGGGCAGACUAGAGUAUUGCAGGGGAGACUGGAAUUCCUGGUGUAGCGGUGAAAUGCGCAGAUAUCGGGAGGAACACCAGUAGCGAAGGCGGCACUCUGGGCCGGUACUGACGCUGAGGAGCGAAAGCGUGGGGAGCAAACAGG
rnacentral:rRNA from 1 species